rnacentral:rRNA from 1 species
UACGGAGGUGGCAAGCGUUGUUCGGAAUCACUGGGCGUAAAGGGCGCGUAGGCGGGGAGGCAAGUCGGGUGUGAAAGCCCUCGGCUCAACCGAGGAACGGCGCCCGAAACUGCUUCUCUUGAGUCCCGGAGAGGAAGGUGGAAUUCCCGGUGUAGCGGUGAAAUGUGUAGAUAUCGGGAGGAACACCGGUGGCGGAGGCGGCCUUCUGGACGGUGACUGACGCUGAGGCGCGAAAGCGUGGGGAGCAAACGGG